rnacentral:lncRNA from 1 species
AUCUCCCUGGGUAGAUGGCAGUACUGUGCACACAAAGUCCAAGGCCCUGCCUUCCACGUGCACUCCCUCAGCAGUGCUUCCAACUCUUUGCACCCCUCCGCACACACAUCCAGAAGGCGGGCAAACACAGGAGACGGCACUUCUGAUAAAGGCUCCAGUGUGGAUGGUGGUGGCUGGACGUGGAGGUCGUCAGGGACUCUGCCUGCUGUAACAUCCCACAUGCUGGUGCACAGGGACGUUCGGUGGAUACUUUUGUCUUGGCUUGACCUUCCUAUUUCCUGCCAAACGAUGGCCCCAUCUUCUUCAAACAUGAAGAACACUUUCUCUUGGAAGGCUCCUAGAUGUCGAUAUAGAUUAGUAAAAGUUCUGGAUGAACAAAAGCAGAUGACUCUAAGAAUGACAGUUUCCUGGGUGUUGUGAAGCAUACCUAAACAGAUUAGCUGCAAAGAAGGAUCUUUUCUCUAUUUCAAGACGUGAACACUGCCCCAUCCCCACUCCCGGUAUUUUGUACCCUAACCGAAAUUGGGCAUUUGCCUGAUAUAACCUGGAAAAGUGUGGCGCAUUAUACUUUACAUCGUGAUUUAUAGUUUACCGACUGCUUUUACGAUGGUCUCAUUUAGUUUUCCAAGAUAAAGCUGUGAUAUAGUGCUAUUAUUCCCCUUUUCAAAAAGAGGAAAUGGCGGACAUGUGAGGGUAAGUGAGUGGUCACACACUAGUCAGCAGUAGAACCAGGACUAGAAUUGCAAGCCCAGUGUUCUCGAGGGUUGAGCCCCAGGAAAUUGUGUCCUGGGCUUUGCCAUCAUGGGGAUUUGCCCGACUGCCCUCAGGCAGGGGAGGGAUGGAGUGCAGAGACAACUGGCCUUCAUCCUUUGUCCCAGGCCCUGCCCUCUGGGAAGUCCAGGACCAGAGAGCCGCAAGGGUGACAUUGUGAUCCACUUCAGUUGAAUGGCAGUAAAAUGAUCAAGCCCUUGUUCUGAAUGACUUUACCUGGAGGUGAUGUCUUCCGCUAGACUGACUGUGACAUUAAAAAUAGAUGAGACCAGGGACGUUUCCCACCCAGAGCUCAACAGAAACUGGCAAGUGUCAAAUUUGAAAUUUUGCACUGCAACUCACAGGCGUCUACUGACCUAAGACUUGGAAACAAUCCAAGACUAAAUGUUGACAGCUAACUCAGGGAGAGAGAGGGAGAAUAUAAAAUGCCAGGGCAUGGCAGCAGCAAAGGGCCUUGGGCCUUUACCUGCCGUUGUGGGCAAGUAGAAAAUAAUCCAUGCAGGAUUCAAGACCUGCCUUCUCAUCCUGACCCUGUGCAAUGAUUGGAAUGCGCCCCCUUCAAAAUUCAGGUGUUGCAAAUGUGAUAGCAGCAGAAGCUGGGACCUAUAAGAGGUGAGUAGGCCCUGAAGGCUUCUCUCUCAUUAGUGGGAUUAAGGCCCUUUUAAAGAGGCUUCACUGCAGCUUCAGGUUAGCUUGCCCUUCUGCCUCCUUAGGCACGUGAAGGCGGGAUAUGAAGACGGGAUGGAAGAUGCCCACCAGACCAUCUAGCUGGUGCCUAGAUCUUGGAGUUCCCGGCCUCUGGACUGUAAGAAAUACAUUUCUGUUCUUCAUAAGUUAUCCAGGCUCAAGUAUCCUGCUGUAGCAGCACAAAUGAACGAAGACACCCGCCACUGUGUUGUGUGACUGAGCAGAUGGUUUCCCCUCUCCAGAACUAAGUUUUUCUUUAACUUUUAAAAAGAAAUGGCCGGGCGCGGUGGCUCAAGCCUGUAAUCCCAGCACUUUGGGAGGCCGAGACGGGCGGAUCAUGAGGUCAGGAGAUCAAGUCCAUCCUGGCUAACACGGUGAAACUCCGUCUCUACUAAAAAAUACAAAAAAACUAGCCGGGCGAGGUGGCGGGCGCCUGUAGUCCCAGCUACUUGGGAGGCUGAGGCAGGAGAAUGGCGUAAACCCGGGAGGCAGAGCUUGCAGUGAGCUGAGAUCCGGCCACUGCACUCCAGCCUGGGCGACAGAGCGAGACUCCGUCUCAAAAAAAAAAAAAAAAAGAAAUUAAGGGCUGGAUCACCUGACAUCGAGAGCUCGAGACCAGCCUGGCCAACACAGUGAAACCCUGUCCCUACUAAAAGCACAAAAAUUAGCCAGGUGUGGUGGCAGGUGCCUGUAGUCCCAGCUACUUGGGAGGCUGAGGCAGGAGAAUUGCUUGAACCCAGGAGGUGGAUGUUGCAGUGAGCUGAAAUCAUGCCGCUGCACUCCAGCCUGGAUGACUGAGCAAGACUCCGUCUCAAAAAAAAAAAACCAGAUAAGAACUAGAUGGUCUCACAAGGAAGAUGACAUCUGAAAGCACAAGGAGCAGCCACAUAAACUUAAGUCCAUUAAAAAAAAAAAUAGGAUGGGCACGGUGGCUCAUGCCUGUGAUCUCAGCACUUUGGGGAGCCAAAGUCAGAGGAUUGCUUGAGCCAAGGAGUCCAAGACCAGCCUAGGCAACAUACCAAGACUUCAUCUCUACAAAAAAUUUUAAAAAUUAGCCAGGCAUAGUGGUGCAUGUCUGUAAUCACAGCUACUUGGGAGGCUGAGGUGGGAGGAUUGCUUGAGCCCGGGAGGUUGAGGCUGCAGUGAACUGUGAUUGAGCUACUGUACUCCAGCCUGGGUGACAGAGUGAGACCUUGUCUCAAAAAACCAAUAAGAAUAAUAAAGAGGAAAAAUUUUUACUCAUGUAGAGAAAUAAAUUGUGGGAUACACACACACACACAUCUGCAUAUCUAUAUAUACUCAAAAAGUUUACAGUCUCACAGAUGUAAUAUGUAGAUGUUGAGAAAAGUAAUCCAUACUUGUACCUUUGUUCUUACCUAAGCCCUGGGUCCCUUGCUCAUCUCCCCAACUUGCCUCUCAGUAUCCUGCCUGCUGCCUCUUCUAUACACAUAACUGUUUUUGAAUGAAUGAAUGUGAGUGAGAAGCGUUCACAGGUCUUAUCUCUUCUGAGAGAGUCUAAUGCAAUGGAAAGAAAUUUGGCAUCCACCGUACCUGGUGUAUUCCCAGCUUCAUCUUUUAUCAGCUGUGAGACUUGGGGCAGGAUCACCGUUAC